AAAUUAGAAUUUCUUAUAGUUGACGGUUUAAGCGUAUAUGUUUUAAUACAAUUGACAACACAGAAGAGGAUAGUCAAAAAAAGAAGGAUAGAACACACAGCAGAGAUCAGUUUUGGUACAUAGACCAAUAGAGAAAUAACACAAUCAGGAGUAUUAUGUCUAUUUAACGUCAAACUUUUUUAAAUAAAAUGAGGCAUAGUAAUGUGGAAAGCUUAAACGAAAGCAAUUUUAAGGAUAAUGAGUCAUUGUCACCCCACGAUUCUAUUAACUGUUGUACCAGAGUAACAUCCCAAGUAGAAUGAUA